rnacentral:lncRNA from 1 species
GACCCGAUUUUCGAAAAAGGCUCGGGAUUUGACCCGGGUUGUUUCAUAUGGUAUCAGAGCAGGCUCUCGAAAGCUUGUUUCGUCAAGUUGCCGGAGGUGGGGACACGAAGGCUGGUGGUAUUAUCCCGCAAUGGACAGAGAUCUGGAGGCGGGGACACGAAGCCAGCCGGUAUUAUCCCACAAUGGCCAGAGAGGUUCGAUCUGGGCCUACUACCAAUUGCACCAACAAAUCAUGAUGUUUUGGGGGACUGUGGUGGGCUUGUGGAUUACCCAAGUUGUUGCAAUUGGG